rnacentral:misc_RNA from 1 species
CAGUCCACAGUAGCAAAGGUUGAAGAUAUAAGGCCAUAUAAUUUGUUCUGCUUUUAUUCCUAUUAUUAUCAGAUUUCUGCAGAAGAUUGCCACCAGAAAAUGGGGAAAAAAAAAGGUGAAAUGGGGUGUAGAAGAUUGAUAGAUUGAAUCUAGAACUGAGGAAUUCAACUGCAGUUUAAACAAAAGGCCUGCAGAAAUAUAAGAAAGUGAAAAUACAUGGAGAAAAAUAAUCCUGCCCAAGCGCAUAAGUGGACCAAGACCCCAAGUGGCAAAAGCAAUGAUACCAACUGCUGGGAUCAAUUUAAGCACAAGUUGGCUUCUAUACAGGGCAUCAUACGACCUACACAAUUUGUCAAAAUUGUGAAAAAAAAAAUGUCAAAAUUAUAUAUUCCAAGAGUAGGAGAGAAGAAUGAAAUUAUUGGAGCAAAAAGGGGGAAAAAUCCAUUAUCCAAUGGGAGGAUUUCCAUGCCUGAGUUAUAAGCUGUAGAUUCAGAUUUGUGUGUAAGUAAGCUUGGCCUCAUAUUAAUGGAUAUUUGUGUGCUUUUAAGCAUUUAAAUUCAAAUAUAUAUUGCAAAGUUAUUAUCACUUACAAAAAGGGACUAAAACUUAGAGUUAAAUCAGAAUGAUCCAUCAAGGGGAAAAGGAUAACAACUACAGAAUAACUGAUCUUGAAAAAAUUUGCAUCUCAUUAUAGAAACUAAAAGUCACUGAAGAAUGGCUACAAUCGAUUAUAUUUCUCGCCCAAUGCAGGCUGACAUUACUUGAGGAAAAAAAUAUUAAGUAUACACUUAGAUUUAUACCUGGAUUUAAAAAACAAAAAUUGCUUUGGAUAUGGAUAAUAAAAUUUGUCUACGAAGGAAAAAAAAAUGCAAACUACAACAUGAAAAUACCUCGUCAAGACCACAGAUGCAGAUUUCAGAACAGGAAUCUCAUUUCCUCCGCUGGGUGUUAGAAGAGAUCGGCAUACAAAAACAUUGCAUUUGGAAGGUGCAGCAAUUAUUGGCCUACGCGAGCUACUUAAAAAGUGAACAGUCCAAGCACCCUGUUGCAAACCAUGCGAUGAAAGACUGACGUUAACCAAAUGUACUCUGUUCUUUCCCUUUCCCAUGACACAAGUUUGUUGGCUACUGCAUCCACGACUAUUAUAAAUCCUCAAUUCUUGAGAUGAUUGGAUCGAACUUGCACGAGUCAUGGCUGGAUUGAAAGAGGAGAUGCCACCAAAAGCUCAAUGUAAUAACUUUGUUCCAAUAAACUUCCACCUUAGUACUCCUAAACUAUGUUUUACUGUGAAAUGGAGUGCAAAGACCAAUUAGGUAUUAGUGCACCAAACAAACAAGUAUGACACCUAUGAACAAGAGCUUCAAAUCAGUGCUUCAACUUCCACAGGGCCCCAAUCAACAAAGAAAACAGAAACAAACAGAACAGAAUUUCCGGGAAAUUUUAGUGAGACACUGAAGGGACAAGAAAGCAAGCAGACAAUGGCUUAAGCGAAACAGUUGCCUAAAUUUAUGUGCUUUUUCCUCAAAUGGGAAGCAGUCACAUUUUUUAAGGAAGGAUUAGAGAUGGA